rnacentral:misc_RNA from 1 species
AACGAGGCCGACCUGCGGCUGAGUUACCUGCGGAGGGAUCAUUACAAGUGACCCCGGUCUAACCACCGGGAUGUUCAUAACCCUUUGUUGUCCGACUCUGUUGCCUCCGGGGCGACCCCGCCUUCGGGCGGGGGCUCCGGGUGGACACUUCAAACUCUUGCGUAACUUUGCAGUCUGAGUAAACUUAAUUAAUAAAUUAAAACUUUUAACAAUGGAUCU